rnacentral:rRNA from 1 species
UACGAAGGGUGCAAGCGUUACUCGGAACUACUGGGCGUAAAGCGUGCGUAGGUGGUUCGUUAAGUCUGAUGUGAAAGCCCUGGGCUCAACCUGGGAAUGGCAUUGGAAACUGGCGACCUAGAGUGCGGUAGAGGGUAGUGGAAUUCCCGGUGUAGCAGUGAAAUGCGUAGAGAUCGGGAGGAACAUCUGUGGCGAAGGCGACUGCCUGGACCAGCACUGACACUGAGGCACGAAAGCGUGGGGAGCAAACAGG